GCCCAGAUCACCAGUUAAGGUCCCCAAAUCUAUGCUAAGUGGAAAAGGAUGUGGAGUUGCGUAGACAACUAGGACGUUGGCUUAGAAGCAGCCAUCAUUCAAAGAGUGCGUAAUAGCUCACUAGUCGAGUGGCGCUGCGCCGAAAAUUUACCGGGGCUAAGCAUAGUACCGAAACUGUGGAUGUGCGUAAGCACGUGGUAGGAGAGCGUUCUAAUUGCGGCGAAGCCUAAUCGAGAGGAUAGGUGGAGCGAUUAGAAGUGAGAAUGCCGGUAUGAGUAGCGAAAGAUAGGUGAGAAUCCUAUCCGCCGAAAGACUAAGGUUUCCUGGGGCAGGCUCGUCCGCCCAGGGUAAGUCGGGACCUAAGGUAAGGCCGG
rnacentral:rRNA from 1 species